GCAGAACAGCUGGCGGCGUGCUUAACACAUGCAAGUCGAGCGGAAAGGCCCUUCGGGGUACUCGAGCGGCGAACGGGUGAGUAACACGUGAGCAACCUGCCCUGGACUUUGGGAUAACCCUCGGAAACGGGGGCUAAUACCGAAUAUGACAUCUCAUCGCAUGGUGGGGUGUGGAAAGUUUUUCGGUCUGGGAUGGGCUCGCGGCCUAUCAGCUUGUUGGUGGGGUAAUGGCCUACCAAGGCGACGACGGGUAGCCGGCCUGAGAGGGCGACCGGCCACACUGGGACUGAGACACGGCCCAGACUCCUACGGGAGGCAGCAGUGGGGAAUAUUGCACAAUGGGCGGAAGCCUGAUGCAGCGACGCCGCGUGAGGGAUGACGGCCUUCGGGUUGUAAACCUCUUUCAGCAGGGACGAAGCGAGAGUGACGGUACCUGCAGAAGAAGCGCCGGCCAACUACGUGCCAGCAGCCGCGGUAAGACGUAGGGCGCGAGCGUUGUCCGGAUUUAUUGGGCGUAAAGAGCUCGUAGGCGGCUUGUCGCGUCGACUGUGAAAACCCGCGGCUCAACUGCGGGCUUGCAGCCGAUACGGGCAGGCUAGAGUUCGGUAGGGGAGACUGGAAUUCCUGGUGUAGCGGUGAAAUGCGCAGAUAUCAGGAGGAACACCGGUGGCGAANGCGGGUCUCUGGGCCGAUACUGACGCUGAGGAGCGAAAGCGUGGGGAGCGAACAGGAUUAGAUACCCUGGUAGUCCACGCUG
rnacentral:rRNA from 1 species